rnacentral:lncRNA from 1 species
CGCUAUCCCACAGUCCGCAGGGGGGCGCUCUGCCCGCCGCCUCCUCUCUGUGGUCGGCCGCUCCUUGGCGGGCGGCUGAUAGGGGGCGGUGCUUGAGCGGCGCGGACCAAUCCCGACAGCGCCGCCGGCGUCGGGAAGCCUCCUAUUGGCCGGCCCCGCAUCGCGCGGGGACCAAUCCCCGCCGCCGUUGGUUUGGAAACCGGCGGCGCGCGGCGCGGGGCCCGCAGAAGGGUCCCGGCGGGGCCGGGCGCAGGGUGCGGAGCCCCCAUGGCGUCUCGCGGCCCCCCCGGCGGCGGGGAGAGCCGGGCCACGGAGCCCCGCGGGACGCCCCCGUUCCGGGCGGACCCGGCGGCGCUGGCCGCGAUCCUCAGCGGACCGGGCCCGGGCCCGGGAGCGCGGCCCGAGGCUCGGCCCGGCGGCGCCGUCAGGGCCUCGCUGGCCGGGCGCGUCCCGCUGCGGCUCGGCUCCCUCCGCACGCAGAUGCGCGCCCCCGGUGCCGCCGCCCGCUGCUGCCGCCGCUCAGCGCCCCGCUCCCCGCAGGCCUCGCGGCCGCUCCAGCGCCACCUCGACCGCGCCUCCGGUUUCUCUGUUCGGGCUCCCGGGGGCCCCCCGCGCCCCCUCGCCCUCCCUGCCGCCGCCCCGGUUCUCGAGCGCCGCGGCGAAGCCCCGAAGGAGGCGGCCGGGGCCCGGUCCCGCAGCCUGAAAAAACACACGGACCAGGAUCCCUCCGCAGUGGUGAAAGCAGAGACCCUCCCGGCUGCGCUGGCCCCUGUCCUGCCCAGUGAGCAGCUGAGCGAGACGGGGGGAGCCACGGGGGGCAGACCCUGCCUGGCCCGCCGAGUGCCCGCCCGCGUCCCCUCCUCGGCCAGGGGCACCGCAGGAGCUGCCCGGGGGGCACAGGGGCUCCCACAAACCGCGGGGGGAGCCCAAGCUGAACCGCCAGGUUCCCUCCUUACCCAGGAGAGCGCGUCCAUGCUCCCAGACCGCCCCUCGAAUGAAAGCAGCACCCCAGGCACUGACCCCCCCCGAGCAUCUGGACCCUCCAACGUCGGCUUGGCUCGCCGUGUGCCCAUCACCAAGGCCAUGCGCCCCCUGAAGUGGAGACUGGCCCUGUCCCCCCAGCCUGGCCCCAGCACCGAUGCUGCUGAGAGCAAGGAGGAGGCCCCACCCUGGGAGAACAUCGUGGUGCAGCUCUUCAGGGAGGACGAGGGCCAGCAGGAGCCCGAGGGGCAGACACCGGCUCUGCCCAGCACCUCGCCGAGCUCCAGCACGGCUCAGGUGGGGAGGUCCCGGGGGGGUCCCUGUGGAGGUGGGGGGAGGUGUGGAGGAUGGAGCCUAACGGGGGGGACCUUCCUCCCAGGACAGGGCCGUGGUGCAGCUCUUCUGGGGGGACAAGGGCUGGCAGGAU